rnacentral:rRNA from 1 species
UACGUAGGGGGCUAGCGUUGUCCGGAUUUAUUGGGCGUAAAGAGCGUGUAGGCGGCCAGGUAGGUCUGGUGUGAAAACUCGAGGCUUAACCUCGAGAUGUCAUCGGAAACCAUCUGGCUAGAGUCCGGAAGAGGAGAGUGGAAUUCCUGGUGUAGCGGUGAAAUGCGCAGAUAUCAGGAAGAACACCAAUGGCGAAAGCAGCUCUCUGGGACGGUACUGACGCUGAGGCGCGAAAGCGUGGGUAGCAAACGGG